rnacentral:rRNA from 1 species
UCCCGCAGUAACGGCGAGUGAAGUGGGAAAAGCUCAAAUUUUAAAUCUACCUGGUACCCCCAGGUCGAGUUGUAAUUUGAAGAAGCGUUUUCGGUGCUUCGGUCUGGUCCAAGUCCUUUGGAACAAGGCAUCACGGAGGGUGAGAAUCCCGUGCAUGGUCAGACCCGAAGUUCCAAUCAGAUACGCUCUCGAAGAGUCGAGUUGUUUGGGAAUGCAGCUCAAAUUGGGUGGUAGACUUCACCUAAGGCUAAAUAUCGGCGAGAGACCGAUAGCGAACAAGUACCGUGAGGGAAAGAUGAAAAGAACUUUGAAAAGAGAGUUAAACAGUACGUGAAAUUGUUGAAAGGGAAACGAUUGAAGUCAGUCGUGCCGAUGAGAAAUCAACUUGACGGGUUUCGGAUUUCUUGGGUAGAGUCAGGGUUAAACCGUCUCUCCCUUGAAUUCGGGAUUUGUUGGGUGUACUUUCUUUCUUGGCAGGUCAGCGUCGAUUUCGGGGGUCGUAAAAUAACUGGGGGAAUGUAGCUCCCUUCGGGGAGUGUUAUAGACCCUGGGGGAUGCGGUCCGCGAGAUCGAGGAUUGCAGCAAAUGCUCU